ensembl:lncRNA
UUUUUUCUUUGUCUUUGUUAAAUUGGGCUAAUUCGAAGACCUUGUCUUUAAGCUCUGAAUUUCUUUCUUCUACUUGUUCAGUUCCAUUGCUGAGACUUUCCAGAGCAUUCUGCAUUUCUAAAAGUGUGUCCAAACUUUCCUGAAAUUUUUAUUGUUUCUUUAUAAGCUACCUAUUUCCAUGAAUAUUUCUCCCUUCACUUCUUGUAUCAUUUUUUGGAUUUCCUUGCAUUAGGCUUCACCUUUCUGUGGUCCCUCCCUGAUUAGCUUAAUAACUAACCUCCUGAAUUAUUUUUCAGGUAAAUCAGGGACUUCUUCCUGGUUUCGAUCCAUUGCUGAUUGAACUAGUGUGAUUUUUGUGGGGGCAGAAGAGCCUCAUUUUGUCAUAUUAUCAGGGUUGGUUUUCUGGUUCCUACUCAUUUGUGUAGGCUACGUCAGACGGAAGGUCUAGGGCUGCAGACUGUUGUUCAGAUUCUUUUGUCCCACAGGGUGUUCCCUCGAUGUAGUACUCUCCUGUUUUUCCUGUGGAUGUGGCUUCCUGUGAGCUAAACUGCAGUGAUUGUUGUCUCUCUUCUGAGUCUAGCUACCCAGCGAGUCUACCCAGCUCUAGGCUAGUACUGGGGGUUGUCUGCACAGAGUCCUGAGAUGUGAACCAUCUAUGGGUCUCUCAGCUGUGAAUACCAGCACCUAUUCCAGUGGAGGUAGUAGAGGGUGCAAUGGACUCCAUGAGGGUCCUUAGCUUUGGCGGUUUAAUGCUCUAUUUUUGUGAUGUUUGGCCUCCUGCCAGGAGGUGUGCUUUCCAGAAAGCAUCAGCUGUAGUAGUGUGGAGAGGGACUGGCAGUGGGCAGGGCCCUAGAACUCCCAAGAUUAUAUGCCCUUUGUCUUCCACUACCAGGAUGGAUAGAGAAGGACCAUCAGGUGAGGGUGGGGUUAGCCAUGCUUCUUUGGAUUUUGUGAAUAAAAUAAUACAUUUCUUUAUUUUUAUUCUAUUUGAGGUGGUUUUUCUGUUACUUGUUGCCACAAGCAUUCUACAUGAUACAACGAUGCUCAAAAUGAACUAGAACAAAGAUCUACAAGGGAAUGCUCAUAGCAGCCUUAGUGACACCUCAAAACUGGAAACAACUCAAGUGUCCACAAACCAAUAUAUGGAUAAGGAAACUAUAGCAUAUCCAUACAAUGGAAUAUUAAUCAGUAAUAAAAAUGAAUAAACUCCCGAUACAUCCAACAACAUAGAUAAAUCUCAAAAGCAUUAGGCUAAGUGAAAGAAGCCAGCCACUGAGGGCUACUUAUUAUAUAAUUCCAUUUGUCUAAUAUUCCAGAAAAGAGAAAACUUAUAGUGUGAGGGUUAAUUUUAUGUGUCUGCUUAGCUAAGCCAUAGUACCCAGUUUUUUGUUGUAAUUUCUUUUUUUUAGAGAGAAAGAUCUUGCUGUUGCCCAGGUUGGUCUCAAACUCCUGGGCUCAAGUAAUCCUCCCAGUUUAGCCUCCCAAAAUGCUGAGAUGACAGAUAUGAGUCACCGCGCCUGUCCCAGUACCCAGUUUUUCAUCAAAUAUCAGUAUAGAUGUGCUCUGAAGGUGUUUUUUGUUGUGGUGGUGAUAAAAGACAUGUAACAUAAAAUUUGUUAUCUUAAAUAUUUUUAACAGUACAGUUUAGUAGUUUUAAGAUAAUUCACAUUGUUGUACAACCUAUCUCCAGAAACCUUUUCUUCCUACAAAACGGUAACUCUAUACCCAUUAAACAAUAACUCGCCACUCCCCCUCCCCCAAACCCUGGAAAUCACCCUUCUACCUUCUGUUUCUGUGAAUUUGACUACUCCAGUUACCGCAUAUAAGUAAAAAUCAAACACUAUUGCCUUUUUGUGGCUGGCAUAUUUCACUUAGCAUGAUGUCUCAAGGUUCACCUGUGUUAUAGUACAUGUCAGAAUUUCCUUUUGUUAAGGCUGAAUAAUAGUAUAUGCUGCAUGUUGUUUAUCCAUUCAUGUCUUGAUGAGCACAUGAGUUGCUUCC